rnacentral:ncRNA from 1 species
AUACAAAGAUAAAAACGCAACGUACAUUUUAUUGGUGUACCAGAGCCGGUAGGUAGCCCGGCCGUCCUAUCUUCGAUAGGGUAAGUAACCUUCCCCUCCGGGUUGUCCAUUCUUUGUUCCU